rnacentral:rRNA from 2 species
GAGUUUGAUCGUGGCUCAGAACGAACGCUGGCGGCAGGCUUAACACAUGCAAGUCGAACGCAUCCUUCGGGGUGAGUGGCAGACGGGUGAGUAACGCGUGGGAACGUGCCCUUCAGUUCGGAAUAACCCAGGGAAACUUGGGCUAAUACCGGAUACGUGCGAGAGCAGAAAGAUUUAUCGCUGAAGGAUCGGCCCGCGUCUGAUUAGCUAGUUGGUGAGGUAAUGGCUCACCAAGGCGACGAUCAGUAGCUGGUCUGAGAGGAUGAUCAGCCACAUUGGGACUGAGACACGGCCCAAACUCCUACGGGAGGCAGCAGUAGGGAAUAUUGGGCAAUGGAUGCAAGUCUGACCCAGCCAUGCCGCGUGAAGGAAGAAGGUCCUCCGGAUUGUAAACUUCUUUUGUCGGGGAAGAAGAGUCCUCUUGCGAGGGGAUGUGACGGUACCCGAUGAAUAAGCCACGGCUAACUACGUGCCAGCAGCCGCCGUAAC